UGGUGAUAGACUUGUAUAUGAAUUUAAAAUUUACAUUAAAAAUGUUCUCAUGAAUGUAUCUGUGAAUAACGUUUUAGACAAGAUGUCUGCAUUGGGACCUGGACAAAAUGAAGAUGCAGGAUCACCUCGGGAUUUGGAGAGUAUCUCCCUGAAUUUUCCACAGAAUCAUGGUGGUGAUUUAUGUGGGUCUGAAGUUAACAAACAAAAAAAUACAGCCAAUGGACAAGUAGAAGCAGAAGAAGACCUAGAAGUG